rnacentral:rRNA from 1 species
UACGGAAGGCAGCAGUGGGGAAUAUUGCACAAUGGGCGAAAGCCUGAUGCAGCUAUGCCGCGUGUAUGAAGAAGGCCUUAGGGUUGUAAAGUACUUUCAUCGGGGAGGAAAAAACAAAACUAAUAAUUUUAUUUCUUGACGUUACCCGAAAAAGAAGCACCGGCUAACUCCGUGCCAGCAGCCGCGGUAAUACGGAGGGUGCUAGCGUUAAUCAGAAUUACUGGGCGUAAAGAGCACGUAGGUGGUUUUUUUAAGUCAGAUGUGAAAUCCCUGGGCUUAACCUAGGAACUGCAUUUUGAAACUGAAAUACUAGAGUAUCGUAGAGGGAGGUAGAAUUCUAGGUGUAGCGGUGAAAUGCGUAGAUAUCUGGAGGAUACCUGUGGCGAAAGCGGCCUCCUAAACGAAUACUGACACUGAGGUGCGAAAGCGUGGGGAGCAAACGAGGGAUUAGAUACC